GACGAACGCUGGCGGCGUGCUUAACACAUGCAAGUCGAACGGAAAGGCCCUGCUUUUGUGGGGUGCUCGAGUGGCGAACGGGUGAGUAACCCGUGAGUAACCUGCCCUUGACUUUGGGAUAACUUCAGGAAACUGGGGCUAAUACCGGAUAGGAGCUCCUGCUGCAUGGUGGGGGUUGGAAAGUUUCGGCGGUUGGGGAUGGACUCGCGGCUUAUCAGCUUGUUGGUGGGGUAGUGGCUUACCAAGGCUUUGACGGGUAGCCGGCCUGAGAGGGUGACCGGCCACAUUGGGACUGAGAUACGGCCCAGACUCCUACGGGAGGCAGCAGUGGGGAAUAUUGCACAAUGGGCGGAAGCCUGAUGCAGCGACGCCGCGUGCGGGAUGACGGCCUUCGGGUUGUGAACCGCUUUCGCCUGUGACGAAGCGUGAGUGACGGUAAUGGGUAAAGAAGCACCGGCUAACUACGUG
rnacentral:rRNA from 1 species